GAUUGAUUCCCCUUGGUGUAUGAAGGAAGGAAAGGAUAACUACAGAACAGGAAGCUGCUGGAAUUCCUUCAAGCUACUUCCUGGAAGGGUUUCAGCUCUUCGUUCUUCACUGACUUUGGUGACUUUAUGGUGUUUUCUUCACUUGCCUUCACCUUCCCUCUUCCUCUGACUCAGGAGAGGAUUGAUAUCUGGAGGCUUCAUCUGUUCUGGAAGGAACUUAAAACGCUAAAAGGGUUCAUCUCACCCGGGCCUUGCAGCUGGAAUUCACCUCUCGCUGUUGGUCACAUGGUCUUUGCCAGGCAGCGGCCUCAGAUGAAUUUUCGACCGCACUGGGGGGCCUGACCGAGCCACGCCACAGGGCCACCUGCAUGGAGCAGGGCUGCGGGUGGAGCAGGGCUGCAUGGCUCCAGGAUGGCUGUCUCCCGGCCCGGCCCAGGCCGAGCAGGGCCCAGCCCGGCCCCACUGGCCAUGCUGCGAGUCCCCAGUUACCUGUCCGAAAGCCGGAAGCAAGAGAGGCUUUCCCAGGCUCUGUUUGUUCUUAAAUGUGGAUCACAGAGGCGUGUCAAGCUUCUUAAGUGGCUUUAAAAAGUUGCCAAUAUUCAAACUAGCCAGUUGAUUGGUUCUGUCGAGUCAUAGAGAAAGCUGUAAGCACCUAUUUGCAAGAGAAUCACUUCUGUGGCUGAAGCCCUCUUUACUAAAAACCCAAACUAUACUAAACCAUGACAUAACUUUCUUCCACUGUUGGCCGAUCACCUUUGCAUAGUUAAUAAAAGAGAAGUGAAAAAGUGAGAUAUAGAGGUUUGCACUAACAGGCCCCAAAAUGUGCUUGUGUGCAGUCUCCUCUGGAAAUGUACCAGCACUCCAGGUCAGGUACUUCAUCUUCCCUGUGAUGAGAUCCAUUGUUUUCCCACUUCCUCUGUGCCCUUCCUUGAGCUCUGCCUUCAGAUUUUCAGUCACAUGGCACCAUCUUCACAAAACAUUAGGAAUUUUCCCCAACCAUAGCUAUUGCAUAUGUGACUUCAUCCUGGCUAAAAAGCCAAAGCAUGACCUCUCUCCCAGGUUUCCAAGGAAAGGAAAAGAAGGAGCAGAAGUGAUCUGUUGGCAAGAAUUCUUUUCUUGUACUGAGAUCCAAGGUGAUCACUCCCCUGCCCUAGUGUUACAAUUUAUUUUUUUUUGCAGCCACUAUAGAUGUUUAUACACACUAAAUGUAAUGUUUACUGUUAUGAAAGGCCAUCCAGAAGCCAAAAUACAUACCCCUCUGUCCUCCCUGGAGUAAUAGGUACAUUUUUUAUGAUAAAGCUAAAGGACUAGCUGAGUUAGCUCACAAGUCUUAAGAGACUUGUGUCUGCACCUAUUUCUGAGUAACAGACAUACAUUGCGGUAAUGUAAUUGAAACUUCUUUACUGUCUGGGCAGCUCUAUGGAGCUGGAGAUAUAGUCUUUGAAAAACUAUUGUACAACUACAGAAGUGAACUUCAAAUUUGUAGAUUUAAAAUCAUGUGCUUAUUCUCCCCUAAGUUCAGUAUGCCCAUCAAGAAGCCUUGAUUCUAAGGGUGUCAGAAAGUACAACACAUUUCAUUAUGGCGUAAAAUGAGACCUUUCUCACUCUUGCAAGAGAGAUGCUAAAACUUUUCUCUGUGGUAACGUCAGCAACUUGAAUUAAAAGAGCUGUCUUUAGUA